GGUAGCAUAAUGAUUAGAGCUGUUGCUUUUGAAGCAAAAGGUUGUAGGUUGAAAUCCUACCC
rnacentral:tRNA from 1 species